rnacentral:rRNA from 1 species
UACGUAGGUGGCAAGCGUUGUCCGGAUUUACUGGGCGUAAAGGGCGUGCAGGCGGUUUGUUAAGUGCAGAGUGAAAGCUCCCGGCUCAACUGGGAGAGGUCUUUGCAUACUGGCAAACUUGAGGGAGGCAGAGGAAAGUGGAAUUCCCGGUGUAGUGGUGAUAUGCGUAGAUAUCGGGAGGAACACCUGUGGCGAAGGCGGCUUUCUGGGCCUUACCUGACGCUGAGACGCGAAAGCGUGGGGAGCGAACCGG